GACGAACCGUACGAACGUUAUUCGGAAUCACUGGGCUUAAAGGGUGCGUAGGCGGUGCGGAAAGUUGAAUGUGAAAUCCCUCGGCUCAACCGAGGAAUUGCGUCCAAAACUACCGUGCUAGAGGGAGACAGAGGUGAGUGGAACUCAGAGUGGAGCGGUGAAAUGCGUUGAUAUUCUGAGGAACACCGGUGGCGAAAGCGGCUCACUGGGUCUCUACUGACGCUGAGGCACGAAAGCUAGGGGAGCGAACGGG
rnacentral:misc_RNA from 1 species